rnacentral:rRNA from 1 species
AUUGAACGCUGGCGGAAUGCUUUACACAUGCAAGUCGAACGGCAGCACGGACUUCGGUCUGGUGGCGAGUGGCGAACGGGUGAGUAAUGUAUCGGAACGUGCCCAGUCGUGGGGGAUAACGUAGUGAAAAUUACGCUAAUACCGCAUACGAUCUAUGGAUAAAGCGGGGGAUCGCAAGACCUCGCGCGAUUGGAGCGGCCGAUAUCAGAUUAGGUAGUUGGUGGGGUAAAGGCACACCAAGCCAACGAUCUGUAGCUGGUCUGAGAGGACGACCAGCCACACUGGAACUGAGACACGGUCCAGACUCCUACGGGAGGCAGCAGUGGGGAAUUUUGGACAAUGGGCGAAAGCCUGAUCCAGCCAUUCCGCGUGCAGGAUGAAGGCCCUCGGGUUGUAAACUGCUUUUGUACAGAACGAAAAGGUUUCUACUAAUACUAGGAGCUCAUGACGGUACUGUAAGAAUAAGCACCGGCUAACUACGUGCCAGCAGCCGCAGUAA